rnacentral:rRNA from 1 species
GUCUGUGGCCACACCACCCUGAAUGUGCUGAUCUCACAUGACCUCAAAAGCUAAGCAGGGUCGGGCCUGGUUAGCACUUGGAUGGGUAGAAAUGGUACUGCUUUUA